GUGCUGCUGAAGAGUCCCAAAUUAGGACGAAACAGCUGUCCAGUAU
rnacentral:hammerhead_ribozyme from 1 species